AUUGAACGCUGGCGGCAUGCUUUACACAUGCAAGUCGAACGGUAACAGGUUAAGCUGACGAGUGGCGAACGGGUGAGUAAUGCAUCGGAACGUGCCCGAUCGUGGGGGAUAACGCAGCGAAAGCUGCGCUAAUACCGCAUACGAUCUGAGGAUGAAAGCGGGGGACCGUAAGGCCUCGCGCGAUCGGAGCGGCCGAUGUCAGAUUAGGGAGUUGGUGGGGUAAAGGCUCAACAAGCCAACGAUCUGUAGCUGGUCUGAGAGGACGACCAGCCACACUUGGACUGAGACACGGCCCAGAGUGCUACGGGAGGAAGCAGCGGGGAAUUGUGGGCAAUGGGCGGAAGCCUGAUCCAGCAAUGCCGCGUGCAGGAAGAAGACCUUCGGGUUGUAAACUGCUUUUGUACGGAGCGAAAAGGCACUCUCUAAUACAGGGGGCUCAUGACGGUACCGUAAGAAUAAGCACCGGCUAACUACCUGCCAGCCGCCGCCGUAA
rnacentral:rRNA from 1 species